ACGGAAGGCAGCAGUGGGGAAUAUUGGACAAUGGGCGGAAGCCUGAUCCAGCAACGCCGCGUGAGGGAUGACGGCCUUCGGGUUGUAAACCUCUUUCACCAUUGACGAAGCUGCAUCUUUUUGGGUGUGGUGACGGUAGGUGGGGAAGAAGCACCGGCCAACUACGUGCCAGCAGCCGCGGUAAUACGUAGGGUGCGAGCGUUGUCCGGAAUUAUUGGGCGUAAAGGGCUCGUAGGCGGUUUGUCGCGUCGGGAGUGAAAUCAUCUGGCUUAACUGGGUGCUUGCUUUCGAUACGGGCAGACUAGAGGUAUGCAGGGGAGAACGGAAUUCCUGGUGUAGCGGUGAAAUGCGCAGAUAUCAGGAGGAACACCGGUGGCGAAGGCGGUUCUCUGGGCAUGAUCUGACGCUGAGGAGCGAAAGUGUGGGGAGCGAACAGGAUUAGAUACCCUGGUA
rnacentral:rRNA from 1 species